rnacentral:rRNA from 1 species
CCUACGGGGGGCUGCAGUGAGGAAUAUUGGUCAAUGGGCGUAAGCCUGAACCAGCCAAGUCGCGUGAGGGAUGAAGGUUCUAUGGUUCGUAAACCUCUUUUAUAAGGGAAUAAAGUGCGGGACGUGUCCCGUUUUGUAUGUACCUUAUGAAUAAGGAUCGGCUAACUCCGUGCCAGCAGCCGCGGUACUACGGCGGAUCCGUGCGGUAUCCGGAUUUAUUGGGUUUAAAGGGUGCGUAGGCGGCCUUUUAAGUCAGCGGGGAAAGUCUGUGGCCCAAACCUAGAAUUGCCGUUGAUACUGGGAGGCUAGAGUAUGUUUGAGGCAGGCGGAAUGCGUGGUGUAGCGGUGAAAUGCUUAGAUAUAACGCAGAACCCCGAUUGCGAAGGCAGCCUGCCAAGCCAUGACUGACGCUGAUGCACGAAAGCGUGGGGAUCAAACAGGAUUAGAUACCCGUGUAGUC